CCUACGGGAGGCAGCAGUGAGGAAUAUUGGUCAAUGGGCGGGAGCCUGAACCAGCCAAGCCGCGUGAGUGAAGAAGGUUUUCGGAUCGUAAAACUCUGUUGGUAGAGAAGAACGUUGGUGAGAGUGGAAAGCUCAUCAAGUGACGGUAACUACCCAGAAAGGGACGGCUAACUACGUGCCAGCAGCCGCGGUAAUACGUAGGUCCCGAGCGUUGUCCGGAUUUAUUGGGCGUAAAGCGAGCGCAGGUGGUUUAUUAAGUCUGGUGUAAAAGGCAGUGGCUCAACCAUUGUAUGCAUUGGAAACUGGUAGACUUGAGUGCAGGAGAGGAGAGUGGAAUUCCAUGUGUAGCGGUGAAAUGCGUGGAUAUAUGGAGGAACACCGGUGGCGAAAGCGGCUCUCUGGCCUGUAACUGACACUGAGGCUCGAAAGCGUGGGGAGCAAACAGGAUUAGAUACCCCAGUAGUC
rnacentral:rRNA from 1 species